GUUCUGAAAAUACAGCACUUCUGAUCAAUCAAACCGUAAAUAACCAAUACCUGUGGGUUCAGGAUACAUAAGACUGAACAAAGAAAGUAGUCUUCGUUCAUUUUAAGCUGUUACAGUAAAGAAGAGCUACAGAGCUGCUUCAUCACUCAUUUCUGCCAGUAAAUGUACUUGUCCCAGUUACUGGGUUGACGGUGGCUGGACUCACUAUCGGCUCACUGCCCUGCUGACUCAGCAAAACAGCAACUCACUUGCUCUGUUAUUGCCUUUCAUCCUGUGGUUUUAAUUAAUCGUGUCACUCGUUUCCUGUGCGGAAAGUAGAAUCUCCUCACUUUUGUUAAGACAGCGUAACUCCAUGCAACAACAUUCUCCAAAAACAUUUGACUUAUUUUGAAUUGAAAAUAGCUGUGCUGGAGUUUUGUUUUUAAACUUGUUUAAAAAGGGUCUUAUGUAAGUACUGGACAUGCAUUAAAACAGCGUUUAAAAGCACAACAGAGAGGAGUUAAAGUUCCGUAAUAAAAAUGAUCACAUUUAACAGAGGGAAAUUAAAGUGCAGUAGAGAAUGUACUCAAUCGUGUCAAUAAAUUUAGUUAUGGUGAUUCACAAGUAUCCAGGAAGCAGAAGCAAAAUAAUGGAAGCAGAGAGCAAACAGCAAAGCUUGGAAAUACCUUUCAGCUGAUAUCUCUCAGGUAGACUACAGGUCGGCGGAUAUUUAACAUUUCAGGUAUUUAGUUGAUGUUUCUUAGGACUUUAAAAUGAGCAAAAAAGCACUGGAAACACAAGGAACCACCAGGUGAGGAGGUCAAGAGUCACCCUGGUUUUAUUCACGAAACUGUAGACAGAUCACGUCAUAGAGACGUGCAGGCAAAACACAAACGCUAAAGCACAAGAUAAAGAGACUGGAUGUGAUACAGUGUCAAAAAGGUGACGAGGUGAUUUCUUAAACGUGCAAUAAUAGAUGGGGAGUGACAGGGUGGAAAGUUCAUUGCAACAUCAGCAGGAGAGGUUUCUAUAGUCGCAUUGUGUAACAUUUUAAUCAGUGUUUUGUACUGAUGUUUUCCACCAAACAGUGAGGGUGUGAGUCUCUGUGGUAAAAUAAUAAGUACAACGUAACCGCUGCCCGCAAAUAUCAAUCACGAAACUUUGCCCUCUGAGGAAGUAGUUGCUGAUUUACACUUGUAGAAUAAAAAACUAUAAACUAAUAUCUUUACAAAAACAUAAAGUCGUCAUGUGACCAAAAGGCUACUUGAAGCACUUCUGCCUGCUGGAUAAUUGAUUACUGUAAAUCAAUUCUGAAUUAUUGUUAAUGUAAAAAUAUAAAUUCUGUGAGGGACUAGGACCCAUAACAGGUCAUGCACUUCAAUAUAUAAUAUAUAAUAUAAUUUAAUGUUGUCAUUUAGUGACUUGUGGAAGCGUGUCGUGAGAAUAAGAUCUUAUUGUUUUACUAAACUUGGUUUAGGGCUGCAACUAACGAUUCAUCUGCCGAUUAUUUAUUCAGUUAAUCGAUUCAUUGUCUACGAAACAUCGACAAAUUGUGAAAAUGUGUCCGUCACAGCUUCACAGAGCAGAAGCUGACGUCUUCAAAAACCCAAAGAUAUUCGGCGUACUAUCAUACAUGACAAAGAAACGUUGCAGAUUAUUUUUCUGUCAAUCGAUUAAUCGACUAAUCGUUUCAGCUCUGAUUCUGUUUAAAUGAAUAAUUCUCUGCAAGUUUUAAUGAUAAACUAAGAAAAUGUGUCUUUUACGUGUUUGAGGAGACAUGUUAUCAUUUUACAUAAUUUCUAUGUCCAAAUUAAUGAAUCCAAGCAAGCUGUAAUUAAAAACGUUUUUGAGGUUUGUCUUAUGACAUGCAGUUAAAACGUUGCAUAUAUUUGCUAUAUUAUGAUAUAUUUUGACAUUGGAAAAAAAAAUCUAAUUAAUAUUCUAUUGAUUUCACUAUAUUAAAACCUCACAACCUAAAUAUUGUUGUAUUUAAGGAUAACCUGAAGUUUUUUAUGUAGGACAAGAAACUACACCACUACGUUUUACAACCAGCUGAAUAUGUUUUAAUAAAUGCAGCAUCAAGGCUGUUUAUUGCGUACAUGUUACAUUUUAAGCCUCCCUGUUGCUGCUGAUAAACUCUGUGGUGGUAUUAAAAAGAUGCAGCUGCCCCUCGUCAUCCAUCCCGAACACAGAGGAAAUAAAUGAUGAUCGCAGUAAGAAAACUGGGUCACAACUUGUGUUUUAGGCAGUGAGAUGUUGACAUACUGAACGUUAACUGUAUAACCAGGGAUGGUCGCAGGAUAAAACUCUAAUAUCCAGAGCAAAUGAAUAUUACAAGCUGAGUAUUUUGGCACCGCUGGAGGACUACUUUUUAUCACCUGUAAACAUUCACCGCCCACCAAUGCGUCGAACACAACAACUCAUCAGGAAACUGCAGUGUAAACACUAUGGGUUUUUAGGUUAACACUGUGUAAUGUGUGUUAACAACACUCCCUCUCCCAUAGUGACUGCACUGAAUACAAACUUGCCAGCAUGCAGCUCUGCUCUGGAUCAGGACUGAGAUGUCGAGUUCAGCUGGGAAAGAGUUUAUCAGCCGUGUUCAUCUGGACGUGCCGAGAGGAAGUGUGAAAGAAAUGUAUGGGUACCGUGAAAAGAAACGGAGGAGGAGUUACAAAAAUCCGAGGCAACAUGGACGUUAGCAAGGCACUAAUCUGGUCCAGUGCAGUUGUUCAGUUGUAAAGAGCAUCUUGACGGUGUGGCGAGAGGGAAGGGGCCAGGGUCCGUGCAGCCAGUCUGCUUUUUCGUUGAAAACAACGCGAUGAGAGUGAACCGGACAGAUAAACAAAGAGCUGAAACUCACUAUAAAGCUCCGUGAAGCCGAGAGGAGCUGCAGAUUCAGGUGAUGAUUCUCUCACAACUCUAAACCAGCUCCCUGAAUAAGUGAAGACUGACCAAAAAUAACCUAACAAGGAAAGAAUGUGCUUGUUCAACAGGAAGUGCUUAGGAUCCCCAAGAGAGAGGGGUUGUUGCAGCCGCUGCAGAACUGGUACCUGCACUGGGAGCAGCUGAAGUGCAUGCAGCCGCCUUUCGUCAGAGCGUACUGGAACCUGCAGUGAGGACAGGCUGCAAGAGGACACCACAUACUGGUAGCCGGCCAGGCCCUGCCUCUGGUACUCUGGAUCGUUCUCCCUCUUCCACUGCUGGAACUGCUCACAGGACAGAUCCUGGUGCUGAGGCUCCCACUGAGACCGGAGAGGGAGUGGAUGAGUGAGCACCUCCUGCACAGC